CGCUGCGCUCCCUCCCCCUCGGCGCGCCACCCGCGGUCCACCGCCCCGUCCUCCUCCUUGGAGCGCCGAGGCCGGCCGGCGCCGCCGCCACGCCCGGCCUGGUCCGGGGCAACCACGCCCCGAGGCCGCUCCGACGCCGGCCCCGCCUGCCUCCAGAUCAGCGCCGUCCUUCCCUCCCCUGACGUCGCCUCUCUCCGGAUCCGCGCCGUCCUGCCCUCCCCCUGCCUCCGGAGCCGCGCCGUUGCCCCUGCAGUGCACCUGACGCCGGCUGGCUCUCCUGCCUCCCCUUUCGGCAGCUGUAACUCCGCGCCGGGGACUCGCUGCUCGUGCUCGGCGCGCUCUACUCCACCCAUCCGAGAGAGGUUGUGGCACCGUUGUUGACUCGUCACUUUGCGGGACAGUUAGGUGAUUGAAGAAAGAUGCCGGGCGGCGGACUUCAACGAUCGGUCGCCUCAAUGUACAGAAGAAUGAUGCCACACUCGGAUGCUGGUGAGGGCUCCAAUAGGGGUUCCGAGUUGGGGCGAGGCAAGGGUCGAGGGAAGGGUGGACCCAAGAGGGGGGAGGGAAGGGUGGAGGACUUGUGAGGGCUCCCAUAAACUUGUUUAUUUCAAUAUUUAUGGACUUGUGAACUUCUAGAUAUGUAUUUGUGAACUUUUGGACUUUGCAUUGGACUUCUGGAUGUGUUUGAAGUUAUUUCCGGCUAGUUGUGAUAUAUAUGUGAUAUGUAAUGCCUGUGAUAUAUAUGUUGUGA